CUCCGAGUCUUUCUUUACUUUCUUCUUCAGUCUCCCAUUGUCGGUGGACGUUCCCUUAUUCUUUUCUAUUUACUUCAAUCAACUUCUCCUGCUGGUCUCGUGCGUGAGUGUAAAAGGUGAAACGACAAAGCUCACAUGCCGUUUGAUUGACAGAGCCACAUAGUUUUCGAAGCGGGCUGAAGGUGAUGUUUGGUUGCUGGAUGAAGCACGGACACUGCUAAUCUCCAAAAACUAGGAUUCGAUACGUCAUGGAUAUGGUUAUUAAAAAUAGAAAUUAGGUCAGUCGAGGUCUUCUUCUUCUUCGCGCGCUCCGAUCUCUCUCUCUCUCUCUCUCUAUAUUCACACGCAGCGCCCAGGGGCUCCUCAACAGCCCCUCAACGGCAAACUUGGCCCGGAGCUCGUGUCUGAUAUGUCGGACCGUAUCCGAAGCGUAUCUUAUCCAAACGAGUAUCCUUUUGUGGAGCUGAAAAUUGUAACUUGAAUGUUUGAGCUGAAAUGGAAAGGAACUCAGCAGCAUGUGUGAUGGAAUGGAGCAGAGCUAGAAAAGGCCCUGCGCUCCAAGAAAUCCGGUCGCUCGCUUGAAGCCAUUUCGGAAAUCAGUCCAAGACUCCAACAGUUAAGUAGAGAGCCAGACCCUUCUCCAGCUGUCUACUAUGUGUUCGACCUAAUUCCUGGUGAGGACAAGCUCUUCUCCAAUGCUAUCAUCCUUCCAUUCGAAUGUGGAGAGAAGCACACAAGACUCUGUAUUUUCAAGACCUUUCUGUUUGAGUGCAGGAAGAGGAACAAACGGAAACAGUGUAAAGGAGUUUUGUGCAAAACUCGGGUUCACAUGCAGGUAGAAUUGCUGAGGAGAGUUAAGGUUGUGUUUGACAGUGGGGAUAUUGAGGUAGGGCUUUGGCUUUGGGUCUGUU